UCUAAACCUGCAACUUCACAUCAACUUUUACCAUUUUCAAGAGCUUCCAAGCCAGGAAUGUUAGAGCUGGAAGGAACAUGAUAAAAAGAAGGAAAGUGAAAGUGAACAGUUUACACAGCCAGCAGCACAGUAACCGGCAAGGGGCAAACAAACCCAUAGAUGCUUCCUGAAUGAAACAAAUGAGAUACAGGGAAAAGAUUAAAACCAAGAACCUCUGACUUCCAGACCACUUGACUCUGCUGCCUGACCCUCUUCUUAAAUCCAUGCUGCCUGAGUAAACGUCCAGGCUCCACAUAUUUAGACCACAUCGGGAAACUAGACUUCAUACUGAGACUUACGUUCCCACAUAUAUGGAUUGUGGGCAAUCAGAAGCUCAAAGUGGAAGCUCUGAAGAUGGGAUCCUUUCUGCAAGCUGCUGUGAUACGAGCUGCUGUAAAAACGGAGGCCUCCAGACCAACAGCCAGGGAGUAGAGGAGAGACUCACAUUAGUGGCCACUGGACCAGUGGGAGGAAGAGCUUAUGGGAAGAGACUUCUUUGGCUCAUCUCAUGUUACAUCUUGGAGUGACCUCAAAGGCCCCAUCCCAGAAGGCACAGCCACAAAAAACGUGGCCUCCACCAGCAUGGAUCCCUGAAUGUAAUGGGAUCAGAGCCUCCUGCCCACACCUGCCCUGGCUUAUCUAAUCCUUAGAAGAUGAAGUUCAAGCUCAAGUUCUUGUUCCUCUCCAGCCUCACUGCAUGAUGGGAAACACUCAGGUAUCAACAAGCUCACCCCUGAAAUGCAUCCUAAGCCAUUGGGGCCAAUUAGACCCACAAACCCUGAAAAAGAAGCAGCUUACUUUUUUCUGCACUACAGCCUGGCCUGAAUAUUCUCUCUCUGAAGGGGAAAAAUGGCCACCUGAGGGAAGUAUAAAUUACAAUACUAUCCUGCAGCUUGAUGUUUGCUGUAAGAGGGAAG
rnacentral:lncRNA from 1 species